rnacentral:misc_RNA from 1 species
UACACUAUGAUUAGAUAAAGGAGUAAGGUAUAGCAGUUUACUUAAAUUCAUAAGAGAGUUCUUCUCUCUUUGAACUCUAUAUUCAAGUAUUUGUAGAUAGAUUUAGAUCAGGAAUUAAGAGUUGAUUCCUAACUCACCUCAGCAAAAGGAUAAUUCCAUUCUGCGAGCAGCUUAGCUGGCUCGCGGAGUGUUUCCAUAUUCAACCCUAAUACGUUGAAUUAUAGUUUGUUCAACGUUGAGAAUCUGGCAACAGAUAAGAAAUGUAUGAAGUUCAUCGCAAAAAAGGUGUAAACAC